UACAUGGGGUGCAAACGUUGCUCGGAAUUAUUGGGCGUAAAGCGCGCGUAGGCGGUUACUUAAGUCGGAUGUGAAAGCCCUCGGCUUAACUGAGGAAGUGCACCCGAAACUGAGUAGCUAGAGUACGAAAGAGGGUCGCGGAAUUCCCGGUGUAGAGGUGAAAUUCGUAGAUAUCGGGAGGAACACCGGUGGCGAAGGCGGGUUGCUGGGCUGACACUGACGCUGAUGCGCGAAAGCCAGGGGAGCGAACGGG
rnacentral:rRNA from 1 species